ncrna:unclassified sequences Glutamine-II riboswitch (downstream peptide RNA)
GUCCGUUCAACCUUCUUUGAAGGUCGCAUGAAACCACAGCAUGGAACGGGGUUGUGGU